UACAGAGGUCUCAAGCGUUGUUCGGAUUCAUUGGGCGUAAAGGGUGCGUAGGCGGCGCGGUAAGUCGGGUGUGAAAUCUCGGAGCUUAACUCCGAAACUGCAUUCGAUACUGCCGUGCUUGAGGACUGGAGAGGGAACUGGAAUUUACGGUGUAGCAGUGAAAUGCGUAGAUAUCGUAAGGAAGACCAGUGGCGAAGGCGAGUUCCUGGACAGUUACUGACACUGAGGCACGAAGGCCAGGGGAGCAAACGGG
rnacentral:rRNA from 1 species